AGCGAACCGGGGGAACUGAAACAUCUAAGUACCCCGAGGAAAAGAAAUCAACCGAGAUUCCCCCAGUAGCGGCGAGCGAACGGGGAGCAGCCCAGAGUCUGAAUCAGCUUGUGUGUUAGUGGAACGGUCUGGAAAGUCCGACGGUACAGGGUGAUAGUCCCGUACACCAAAAUGCACAGGUUGUGAACUCGAAGAGUAGGGCGGGACACGUGGUAUCCUGUCUGAAUAUGGGGGGACCAUCCUCCAAGGCUAAAUACUCCUGACUGACCGAUAGUGAACCAGUACCGUGAGGGAAAGGCGAAAAGAACCCCGGCGAGGGGAGUGAAAAAGAACCUGAAACCGUGUACGUACAAGCAGUGGGAGCCUACUUGUUAGGUGACUGCGUACCUUUUGUAUAAUGGGUCAGCGACUUAUAUUCUGUAGCAAGGUUAACCGUAUAGGGGAGCCGAAGGGAAACCGAGUCUUAACUGGGCGUUAAGUUGCAGGGUAUAGACCCGAAACCCGGUGAUCUAGCCAUGGGCAGGUUGAAGGUUGGGUAACACUAACUGGAGGACCGAACCGACUAAUGUUGAAAAAUUAGCGGAUGACUUGUGGCUGGGGGUGAAAGGCCAAUCAAACCGGGAGAUAGCUGGUUCUCCCCGAAAGCUAUUUAGGUAGCGCCUCGUGAAUUCAUCUUCGGGGGUAGAGCACUGUUUCGGCUAGGGGGUCAUCCCGACUUACCAACCCGAUGCAAACUGCGAAUACCGAAGAAUGUUAUCACGGGAGACACACGGCGGGUGCUAACGUCCGUCGUGAAGAGGGAAACAACCCAGACCGCCAGCUAAGGUCCCAAAGUCAUGGUUAAGUGGGAAACGAUGUGGGAAGGCACAGACAGCCAGGAUGUUGGCUUAGAAGCAGCCAUCAUUUAAAGAAAGCGUAAUAGCUCACUGGUCGAGUCGGCCUGCGCGGAAGAUGUAACGGGGCUAAACCAUGCACCGAAGCUGCGGCAGCGACACUAUGUGUUGUUGGGUAGGGGAGCG
rnacentral:rRNA from 1 species